GAGUUUGAUCCUGGCUCAGGACGAAUGCUGGCGGCGUGCCUAAUACAUGCAAGUCGAACGGUUCAAUCCUUGGAGCUUGCUCCAAGGAUUGGAUAGUGGCGGACGGGUGAGUAACACGUAGGCAACCUGGCGUCAAGACCGGGAUAACCCGCGGAAACGCGAGCUAAGACCGGAUAGGAAACUUCCGUGCAUACGGGCGUUUGGAAACCUGGUGCAAGCCAGGACUUGACGAUGGGCCUGCGGCGCAUUAGCUAGUAGGUGAGGUAACGGCUCACCUAGGCGACGCUGCGUAGCCGACCUGAGAGGGUGAUCGGCCACACUGGGACUGAGACACGGCCCAGACUCCUACGGGAGGCAGCAGUAGGGAAUCUUCCGCAAUGGACGCAAGUCUGACGGAGCAACGCCGCGUGAGUGAGGAAGGUUUUCGGAUCGUAAAACUCUGUUGCCAGGGAAGAACGCCAGGGAGAGGCAAUGCUCUUUGGGUGACGGUACCUGAGAAGAAAGCCCCGGCUAACUACGUGCCAGCAGCCGCGCUAAUAC
rnacentral:rRNA from 1 species